GCAGUUAAGAGAAACUCUCAAGGAGCAUGCGCAAAUCGUUAAUCUCGUUACGCAAACGCGCCACAGUGUCGCACAGUGAUGCAUGUUAGUCGGCACUGGUGUAUGCGGUGCAUUAAUUUUCAGUCGGUCUUCGUGAACGUUCCACAGUCAACAUCGUGUCAUGGCGGCCAAAGCAACGCUCUUGCUAACCAUGGCGUGUGCGACGCUGCUUACUUUUGUGAGUGAGGCAGAGGGCAUCCUGUGUGCUUCGGACUACUGCGAAAAACGGGGACCAUGCAAGCCUGUCGACGCAGCUGCCUGCGACGGAGUCGUAAAACCAAACGCCACUUUCUGUGCCUGCUGUCCUGCCUGCAUCAAAUUACUCGGCUAGUAAAUGGCGCUUAGAACUCGUGCGAGCCCGAAAGGCCGCAAACUCUUGAACCGUUAACCAGCCCACUACUUCUAGAGAAGCUUUGAAUGAGUCAUGUCUACCAUUGGUGCCAAGGGGAAUCCCGCCUACCGCCGAAUGCAGGAAAGGUUUAUCUUGCAACACUAAUACGGGGACAUGCCUCCCAAUAACUGGAAAGUAACCUUGAACGUGGAAUCUGGUCUUCUGCUUUAGCGUUGCCUCCGUGAAAUCAAAUAAAUGGGAGAUGAAUGGUGA